rnacentral:lncRNA from 10 species
GCCAAGGAAGGGUCCAGGUGCCGCGGAUCUUGAGAAGGAGGCGUGGCCUGGCGCUGGGAUUGGCGCCGGAUGCACCCCGGGUUGUGGAGUUUGGGGAUCCUCAUCCGGCGCCCUCUCCCCUUCCAGGAGUGCACAGUCUGCGGGUGGACCGGGGAAAGAAGACGUACUUCAUCGUCAUGCAGAGCGUCUUCUACCCCGCCGGCCGCAUCUCCGAGAGGUAUGACAUCAAAGGCUGCGAGAGUGUGUGGAGCACCGUGGCUGGCACAUGAUGAGCGCUCAGGUGGGGGCACUGAUGCUCCGGCAGGGCCCCAGCGGAGCUGGUUCCUCCGCCAGAUGGAACUGGAUACCACCUUCCUCCGGG